rnacentral:rRNA from 1 species
GUGCCAGCCGCCGCGGUAAUACGAGGGAUGCAAGCGUUAUCCGGAAUUAUUGGGCGUAAAGCGUCCGCAGGUGGCUUUGUAAGUCUGUCGUUAAAGCGUGGAGCUCAACUCCAUAUCGGCGAUGGAAACUACAAGACUAGAGUUUGGUAGGGGUCACGGGAAUUCCUAGUGUAGCGGUGAAAUGCGUAGAUAUUAGGAAGAACACCAGCGGCGAAAGCGCGUGACUGGGCCAAUACUGACACUCAUGGACGAAAGCUAGGGGAGCGAAAGGGAUUAGAUACCCCUGUAGUCCUAGCCGUAAACGAUGAUAACUAGGUGUUGCUCGUAUCGACCCGAGCAGUGCCGUAGCCAACGCGUUAAGUUAUCCGCCUGGGAGUACGCACGCAAGUGUGAAACUCAAAGGAAUUGACGGGGGCCCGCACAAGCGGUGGAGUAUGUGGUUUAAUUCGAUGCAACGCGAAGAACCUUACCAAGGCUUGACAUGUCGCGAAUUCCCUUGAAAGGGGGAAGUGCCUUCGGGAGCGCGAACACAGGUGGUGCAUGGCUGUCGUCAGCUCGUGUCGUGAGAUGUUGGGUUAAGUCCCGCAACGAGCGCAACCCUCGUUUUUAGUUGCCAUCAUUUAGUUGGGCACUCUAGAGAGACUGCCGGUGACAAACCGGAGGAAGGUGGGGAUGACGUCAAGUCAGCAUGCCCCUUACGUCUUGGGCUACACACGUACUACAAUGCUACGGACAAAGGGCUGCCAACUCGCGAGAGUGCGCUAAUCCCAUAAACCGUGGCUCAGUUCAGAUCGUAGGCUGCAACUCGCCUACGUGAAGGCGGAAUCGCUAGUAAUCGCAGGUCAGCAUACUGCGGUGAAUACGUUCCCGGGCCUUGUACACACCGCCCGUCACACCAUGGAAGUCGGCCACGCCCGAAGCCGUUACCCUAACCGUAAGGAGGGGGGCGUCUAAGGCAGGGCUAAUGACUGGGGUGAAGUCGUAACAAGGUAACC